rnacentral:rRNA from 1 species
GACGAACGCUGGCGGGCGUGCUUAACACAUGCAAGUCGAACGGUGAAGCGCCUUCCUUUUGGUGGGUGUGGAUAAGUGGCGAACGGGUGAGUAACACGUGAGUAACCUGCCCCCUUCUUCUGGAUAACCGCAUGAAAGUGUGGCUAAUACGGGAUAUUCUGGGUCUGUCGCAUGGCGGGUCUGGGAAAGAUGCGCCUUUGGGUGUUUUCGGUGGGGGAUGGGCUCGCGGCCUAUCAGCUUGUUGGUGGGGUGAUGGCCUACCAAGGCGGUGACGGGUAGCCGGCCUGAGAGGGUGGACGGUCACACUGGGACUGAGACACGGCCCAGACUCCUACGGGAGGCAGCAGUGGGGAAUAUUGCACAAUGGGCGCAAGCCUGAUGCAGCGACGCCGCGUGAGGGAUGGAGGCCUUCGGGUUGUAAACCUCUUUCGCCAGUGAAGCAGGCCUGCUCCUUGUGGGUGGGUUGACGGUAGCUGGAUAAGAAGCGCCGGCUAACUACGUGCCAGCAGCCGCGGUAAUACGUAGGGCGCGAGCGUUGUCCGGAAUUAUUGGGCGUAAAGAGCUCGUAGGCGGCUGGUCGCGUCUGUCGUGAAAUCCUCUGGCUUAACUGGGGGCUUGCGGUGGGUACGGGCCGGCUUGAGUGCGGUAGGGGAGACUGGAACUCCUGGUGUAGCGGUGGAAUGCGCAGAUAUCAGGAAGAACACCGGUGGCGAAGGCGGGUCUCUGGGCCGUUACUGACGCUGAGGAGCGAAAGCGUGGGGAGCGAACAGG